GUUGGAACAAAGAAGGGGAAAAACAAUGGCAGUUCUUAUCUUUCAGGUAGCUGUAUGGUGAGCAUUCCUCUCCCAGCAAUCUGUUGUUCUUUGUGAGCAGACUGGAGUGUGACAGCUGUGAAAACGAUCAAAGGCAGGUCCCAGACAGGAGAGGGCUGAUGACAAUGCCAGUUUCCCUCUAAGACCCUGUGGACAGCAGGGCCAUGAGGGAUGCUGUGACACAGAGUCUUGCUUGAUGCAGUGUGUGGUGUUACUCACAGGAGUGGGUUCAGCCACUCUUGGUGUGAAACCCAAGGAAAAUGUCUCUGCCGCAGCUGAUGUCAACAUGUACAGCAUGUGACCAGCUUGCAUUAAAGGAGAUGUGUGUAUGAGUUCUGCAGAAGUCCACCAAAUGUGGGCCAGGGUUAUUUCCCUGGUGAUGCUCUGAAGCUUUUGCCAAAGGACAAAUGGAAACAGGAAGUACAAUCAUGCACUGGGGUAAAGAAGAUUCAUCUGCUCUUAGCUACCUACCAUGCCAACACUCCUGAGAAAGCUCACAGAGGCCCAUGAUGCCCACCUGGAUCUGAGGACCUAGAAAGCCACAACAGGCAACCAUAAUCUGGGUCUUCCCUCAGCCAACUCCCCUGCAUAAAGUGAAUGAAUGAAAAACCCAUCUUAUAUUAAUCAGAGUUCUCUAGAGAAAAAGAACCAAUCAGAUGUGUAUAUAUAGAAAGAGAGAAUUAUUUUAGGGAAUUAGCUCACAUCAUUAUGCAGGCUGGUCAAUCAAAAAUCUGUGGAGUGGGCUAGCAGGCUGGAGACCCAGGGAAAGGCUAAAUUGCAGUUUAGAUCAGAAGGUCAUCUACUGGCAGAAUUCCCUCAUCUUCCAGGAAGGUGGAUCUUUUUCUACCAAGGCCUUCAGUUUAUUAGAUUAGGCCCAUGAACAUGCUGGAGGGUAAUCUGCUUUACUCAAUACAUACUGAUUUGAAUGUUAGUAUCAUCAAAAAGACCUUCACAGAAACAUCUAAAAUAAUGUUUGACCAAAUGUCUGCAUACCAUGGCCAAGCCAAGUUUACACAUAAAAUUAAUUAUCACACAUCCCACGAACACCAUCCCCAACAGAUGCUCAUGAGCAUUGUGGUUAUGAUUUCAACUUCAGAAUAAGGCAGAAAUGUGUACAAAUCCUGACCCUUUGACUUAUCAGCUCUCUAAAAAUCAUUAUAUGUCAACUUUCUAGACUUUACCUGAAAAACAGAAACCAAGAUACCCACAGCAUAAGAUUGUUAGGAUUGAAGAAAUUGUUACGAUUGUUAGGUAUGAAGAAAUUUAAACAAUGAUGCAGCUGAGAUAUUUAGAAUUGUACCUGGCAUGUACUUUGUAUUAAAUAACUAAUAAGGCCUUUUUCUGGUGAAAACAAAAUAAGCCUGGAUAAAAGAAGAUGAGACCAGAUUGGUUGAUGGCUCGGCCUGGGUGGGCUCCUGGCCCAUCUGAAAUUACAUUACUCUUAUGUAGUGCCUUUUUUGUUAUUGCUAAAAUAAAAUAAAUAAAACACUCUACUUUCAUACU
rnacentral:lncRNA from 1 species